ACCUCGUAUAGGAGAUAAUCUGGGGUACGUCUUAGGUAUGUUAACAUUACCUCGUAUAGGAGAUAAUCUGGGGUACGUCUUAGGUAUGUUAACAUUACCUCGUAUAGGAGAUAAUCUGGGUCCGUCUUAGGUAUGUUAACAUUACCUCGUAUAGGAGAUAAUCUGGGGUCUGUCUUAGGUGUGUUAACAUUACCUCGUAUAGGAGGUAAUCUGGGGUCUGUCUUAGGUAUGUUAACAUUACCUUGUAUAGGAGAUAAUCUGGGGUACGUCUUAGGUAUGUUAACAUUACCUCGUAUAGGAGAUAAUCUGGGGUACGUCUUAGGUAUGUUAACAUUACCUCGUAUAGGAGAUAAUCUGGGGUCUGUCUUAGAUACAUUAUGUAAGUUAACAUUUCAUGGAAUUAUUAGUCCCAUGCUCUUUUUGCCCUUUUUUAAGUAGGAGUCUCCAAUGAAUUUUAAAUGAGGGGACCUCGUUUCCUCUUUCUGACAGAACAAAAUCAAUAUUUUUGUCAUAGUUAUGUGUGAUAAGUUAUCAUAAUCUUUACCUCUCUUUCUUUGUAUUUCCUACACAAUGUGGACGUGUAAAAGAUGAAGUAUUACUGAAUGUAUGUUCAUUUUAAUUGUUAAUUGAAAUGAUAAAUACUCAAUGUCGUCGUCUCCAUAUUUUUAUUGUCCCAUUUGAACAUUUUUGUUAUGGAGUGUUCAAAUCGUUUUAUUUUUACAUUAUAAAACGUAUUAGAUAUAUGUUGCGCUGUGUAGAAUACAUUUAUUGAAUCCUCUACAUCGUUGCAUGGACAAAGCAGGGAUUUGUUACCUUCAUAUCAUACCGCCACCAAAAAAAUAUUUUUUCUUUGAUGUACGAUAUCUCCGUUCAAUAAUUUUUUCUAGAGAAAAUUUGUUGUUUUCCUUCUCUGGUGUUAUUUUUUGUCUUGAUUAAUGUAUUGAUGCCAUAAUACACCAUCACAUUUUAUUUUCUCAGGUACACUUUAUUAUUUCAACAUUUUGCUUAUUAGGAUUAACUAAAACAUUUUCGUAUGUUGAGUUUUUUUCAAUAAAGCAUGCACUUAA